GAUGAAGAACGCAGCGAAAUGCGAUAAGUAAUGUGAAUUGCAGAAUUCAGUGAAUCAUCGAAUCUUUGAACGCACAUUGCGCCCGUCAGUAUUCUGGCGGGCAUGCCUGUUCGAGCGUCAUUACGCCCCUCAAGUCCCCUGUGGACUUGGUGUUGGGGAUCGGCGAGGCUGGUUUUCCAGCACAGCCGUCCCUUAAAUUAAUUGGCGGUCUCGCCGUGGCCCUCCUCUGCGCAGUAGUAAAACACUCGCAACAGGAGCCCGGCGCGGUCCACUGCCGUAAAACCCCCCAACUUUUUAUAGUUGACCUCGAAUCACGUAGGACUACCCGCUGAACUUAAGCAUAUCAAUAAGCGGAGGA
rnacentral:misc_RNA from 1 species